GGCAAGGUAGCUCAGAUGGUUAGUAGCGCGGCUCUCAUAAGGCCGAGGUCGGCGGUUCGAUCCCGCCCCUUGCUA
rnacentral:tRNA from 1 species